GGUAAGAUGGCCGAGCGGUCUAAGGCGCUAGCUUCAGGUGUUCAGCACAUCAGAAUUGCUAGUCUCUCACGAGGCGUGGGUUCGAAUCCCACUCUUAUCA
rnacentral:tRNA from 1 species